UCGAGCGAACCUUCGGGGUGAGCGGCGGACGGGUGAGUAACGCGUGGGUAACCUGCCCUGUACACACGGAUAACAUACCGAAAGGUAUGCUAAUACGGGAUAACAUAUGAGAGUCGCAUGGCUUUUGUAUCAAAGCUCCGGCGGUACAGGAUGGACCCGCGUCUGAUUAGCUAGUUGGUAAGGUAACGGCUUACCAAGGCAACGAUCAGUAGCCGACCUGAGAGGGUGAUCGGCCACAUUGGAACUGAGACACGGUCCAAACUCCUACGGGAGGCAGCAGUGGGGAAUAUUGCACAAUGGGCGAAAGCCUGAUGCAGCAACGCCGCGUGAGCGAUGAAGGCCUUCGGGUCGUAAAGCUCUGUCCUCAAGGAAGAUAAUGACGGUACUUGAGGAGGAAGCCCCGGCUAACUACGUGCCAGCAGCCGCGGUAAUACGUAGGGGGCUAGCGUUAUCCGGAAUUACUGGGCGUAAAGGGUGCGUAGGCGGUCUUUCAAGCCAGAAGUGAAAGGCUACGGCUCAACCGUAGUAAGCUUUUGGAACUGUAGGACUUGAGUGCAGGAGAGGAGAGUGGAAUUCCUAGUGUAGCGGUGAAAUGCGUAGAUAUUAGGAGGAACACCAGUAGCGAAGGCGGCUCUCUGGACUGUAACUGACGCUGAGGCACGAAAGCGUGGGGAGCAAACAGGAUUAGAUACCCUGGUAGUCCACGCCGUANACGAUGAGUACUAGGUGUC
rnacentral:rRNA from 1 species